rnacentral:rRNA from 1 species
AGUGAACGCUGGCGGUAGGCCUAACACAUGCAAGUCGAACGGCAGCACAGUAAGAGCUUGCUCUUACGGGUGGCGAGUGGCGGACGGGUGAGGAAUACAUCGGAAUCUACUUUUUCGUGGGGGCUAACGUAGGGAAACUUACGCUAAUACCGCAUACGACCUACGGGUGAAAGCAGGGGAUCUUCGGACCUUGCGCGAUUGAAUGAGCCGAUGUCGGAUUAGCUAGUUGGCGGGGUAAAGGCCCACCACGGCGACGAUCCGUAGCUGGUCUGAGAGGAUGAUCAGCCACACUGGAACUGAGACACGGUCCAGACUCCUACGGGAGGCAGCAGUGGGGAAUAUUGGACAAUGGGCGCAAGCCUGAUCCAGCCAUACCGCGUGGGUGAAGAAGGCCUUCGGGUUGUAAAGCCCUUUUGUUGGGAAAGAAAAGCAGCAGGUUAAUACCCCGCUGUUCUGACGGUACCCAAAGAAUAAGCACCGGCUAACUUCGUG